AGGGGCGUAGCUAUUGGUAGAGCACCGGUCUCCAAAACCGGGUGUCGCGAGUUCGAGUCUCUCCGCCCCUGCCA
rnacentral:tRNA from 1 species